rnacentral:rRNA from 1 species
UACGUAGGUGGCAAGCGUUGUCCGGAUUUACUGGGCGUAAAGAGCGUGUAGGCGGCCACGCAGGUCCGUUGUGAAAACUGGAGGCUCAACCUCCAGCUGUCGACGGAAACCGUAUGGCUAGAGUCCGGAAGAGGAGAGUGGAAUUCCUGGUGUAGCGGUGAAAUGCGCAGAUAUCAGGAGGAACACCGGUGGCGAAGGCGGGUCUCUGGGCCGAUACUGACGCUGAGGAGCGAAAGCGUGGGGAGCGAACAGG